GAUGGCUCUAAAAUCUAAAAGAGAGAGAAGAAAGCAGCACAGGCUUUUCAAUGCCCCGGUGACCAUUCCCCAUGGCAGGGAGAUGCUGAUGUCCGCCCCACCCCGCGGGCUCCCAAGAUGGAAUGAGAAAAGUGGAGAAGAGAGGGGUACCCUGGGGUUCAGUGUCUGCCAGCUGCUGCUAAAUACCUCUGAGAAACUCUGUUUCCAUCUAAAGGAGACCACCUGUCAGGACCCGGUCCAGGAACAAGCUGGGUGGACUUCCUGGCAAAAUGAAUUGGACCAACUGUAGGUUCCAGAACACCAGAGCCAGCAGCAAUGCCUUCCUGGAUGAACCCAUACCACGGCUCUGCUCCGGUAAGACCAGCUGAAAACCAGCCCGAGGCCAAGGGGCUAUGAUUCACUGUUAAA
rnacentral:lncRNA from 1 species